AUUGAACGCUGGCGGCAGGCCUAACACAUGCAAGUCGAACGAGUGGCGGAGGGGUGAGUGUUGUGUGGGAAACUGCCCGAGGGAGGGGGAUAACUACUGGAAACGCUAGCUAAUACCCCAUACCCUCUGAUAUGCCCCGAUGGGGUUAUCGAGUAGGUGGGGUAACGGCUCACCUAGGGGACGAUCCCUAGCUGGUCUGAGAGGAUGACCAGCCACACUGGAACUGAGACACGGUCCAGACUCCGACGGGAGGCAGCAGUGGGGAAUAUUGCACAAUGGGCGCAAGCCUGAUGCAGCCAUGCCGCGUGUGUGAAGAAGGCCUUCGGGUUGUAAAGCACUUUCAGCGGGGAGGCGUUACCCGCAGAAGAAGCACCGGCUAACUCCGUGCCAGCAGCCGCGGUAAUUC
rnacentral:rRNA from 1 species